rnacentral:rRNA from 1 species
AGCGCAUACGGUGGAUGCCUUGGCAGUCAGAGGCGAUGAAAGACGUGGUAGCCUGCGAUAAGCUUCGGGGAGUCGGCAAACAGACUUUGAUCCGGAGAUCUCUGAAUGGGGGAACCCACUCAGCAUAAGCUGAGUAUCUUGUACUGAAUACAUAGGUGCAAGAGGCGAACCAGGGGAACUGAAACAUCUAAGUACCCUGAGGAAAAGAAAUCAACCGAGAUUCCCUUAGUAGUGGCGAGCGAACGGGGACUAGCCCUUAAGUGGCUUUGAGAUUAGCGGAACGCUCUGGAAAGUGCGGCCAUAGUGGGUGAUAGCCCUGUACGCGAAAAUCUCUUAGUCAUGAAAUCGAGUAGGACGGAGCACGAGAAACUUUGUCUGAAUAUGGGGGGACCAUCCUCCAAGGCUAAAUACUACUGACUGACCGAUAGUGAACCAGUACCGUGAGGGAAAGGCGAAAAGAACCCCGGAGAGGGGAGUGAAAUAGAACCUGAAACCGUAUGCGUACAAGCAGUGGGAGCCUACUUGUUAGGUGACUGCGUACCUUUUGUAUAAUGGGUCAGCGACUUAUAUUCAGUGGCGAGCUUAACCGAAUAGGGGAGGCGUAGCGAAAGCGAGUCUUAAUAGGGCGUUUAGUCGCUGGGUAUAGACCCGAAACCGGGCGAUCUAUCCAUGGGCAGGUUGAAGGUUAGGUAACACUGACUGGAGGACCGAACCGACUACCGUUGAAAAGUUAGCGGAUGACCUGUGGAUCGGAGUGAAAGGCUAAUCAAGCUCGGAGAUAGCUGGUUCUCCUCGAAAGCUAUUUAGGUAGCGCCUCAUGUAUCACUGUAGGGGGUAGAGCACUGUUUCGGCUAGGGGGUCAUCCCGACUUACCAAACCGAUGCAAACUCCGAAUACCUACAAGUGCCGAGCAUGGGAGACACACGGCGGGUGCUAACGUCCGUCGUCAAAAGGGAAACAACCCAGACCGUCAGCUAAGGUCCCAAAGGUAUGGUUAAGUGGGAAACGAUGUGGGAAGGCUUAGACAGCUAGGAGGUUGGCUUAGAAGCAGCCACCCUUUAAAGAAAGCGUAAUAGCUCACUAGUCGAGUCGGCCUGCGCGGAAGAUGUAACGGGGCUCAAACCAUACACCGAAGCUACGGGUAUCACUUAGGUGAUGCGGUAGAGGAGCGUUCUGUAAGCCUGUGAAGGUGAGUUGAGAAGCUUGCUGGAGGUAUCAGAAGUGCGAAUGCUGACAUGAGUAACGACAAUGGGAGUGAAAAACUCCCACGCCGAAAGACCAAGGUUUCCUGCGCAACGUUAAUCGACGCAGGGUUAGUCGGUCCCUAAGGCGAGGCUGAAAAGCGUAGUCGAUGGAAAACAGGUUAAUAUUCCUGUACUUCUAGUUAUUGCGAUGGAGGGACGGAGAAGGCUAGGCCAGCUUGGCGUUGGUUGUCCAAGUUUAAGGUGGUAGGCUGAGAUCUUAGGUAAAUCCGGGAUCUUAAGGCCGAGAGCUGAUGACGAGUUGCCUUUAGGCGACGAAGUGGUUGAUGCCAUGCUUCCAAGAAAAGCUUCUAAGCUUCAGAUAACUAGGAACCGUACCCCAAACCGACACAGGUGGUUGGGUAGAGAAUACCAAGGCGCUUGAGAGAACUCGGGUGAAGGAACUAGGCAAAAUGGCACCGUAACUUCGGGAGAAGGUGCGCCGGUGAGGGUGAAGGACUUGCUCCGUAAGCCCAUGCCGGUCGAAGAUACCAGGCCGCUGCGACUGUUUAUUAAAAACACAGCACUCUGCAAACACGAAAGUGGACGUAUAGGGUGUGACGCCUGCCCGGUGCCGGAAGGUUAAUUGAUGGGGUUAGCUAACGCGAAGCUCUUGAUCGAAGCCCCGGUAAACGGCGGCCGUAACUAUAACGGUCCUAAGGUAGCGAAAUUCCUUGUCGGGUAAGUUCCGACCUGCACGAAUGGCGUAACGAUGGCGGCGCUGUCUCCACCCGAGACUCAGUGAAAUUGAAAUCGCUGUGAAGAUGCAGUGUAUCCGCGGCUAGACGGAAAGACCCCGUGAACCUUUACUAUAGCUUUGCACUGGACUUUGAAUUUGCUUGUGUAGGAUAGGUGGGAGGCUUUGAAGCGUGGACGCCAGUUCGCGUGGAGCCAUCCUUGAAAUACCACCCUGGCAACUUUGAGGUUCUAACUCAGGUCCGUUAUCCGGAUCGAGGACAGUGUAUGGUGGGUAGUUUGACUGGGGCGGUCUCCUCCUAAAGAGUAACGGAGGAGUACGAAGGUGCGCUCAGACCGGUCGGAAAUCGGUCGUAGAGUAUAAAGGCAAAAGCGCGCUUGACUGCGAGACAGACACGUCGAGCAGGUACGAAAGUAGGUCUUAGUGAUCCGGUGGUUCUGUAUGGAAGGGCCAUCGCUCAACGGAUAAAAGGUACUCCGGGGAUAACAGGCUGA